UACGUAGGGUCCGAGCGUUGUCCGGAAUUAUUGGGCCUAAAGCAUCCGUAGCCGGUCCUACAAGUCUUCCGUUAAAUCCACCUGCUUAACAGAUGGGCUGCGGAAGAUACUAUAGGGCUAGGAGGCGGGAGAGGCAAGCGGUACUCAGUGGGUAGGGGUAAAAUCCUCUGAUCCAUUGAAGACCACCAGUGGCGAAGGCGGCUUGCCAGAACGCGCUCGACGGUGAGGGAUGAAAGCUGGGGGAGCAAACCGG
rnacentral:rRNA from 1 species